UUGGACGUCCAAAAUAGUUGUGCUUGAAUCAAUAUACUUCUUGGCAGCAAUAGUGCAGGCAGGAAACUUGAGCAUAAAACUCCUCUCGAACUCCUUAACAUGAUAUCUAAUAUAUCGAUCAAGCGUAGUAACUUGCAUCAGUUUGUUAGGAUCAACUUUCCCAAGCCUUUCAAUAUACACAGGCCUGCCUUCUUUAUCUACACUGUGAUAACCGUGCGGGUAAUAUUUCAGAACUUCAUCAAUCUCUUCAAACUGAAAAUCCUGAAUAAUAGUGUCGGUACCAAAUUCCUUCCUCCACUGGAUCAUAUCAGCCCACAUGUGCUUAGCUUUCUCAAUGUCGAAUUUCCUAGCCUUCAAGAACCUCAACAUCAUAUGAUAGUCAUCGUGUUUAUGGGGAAGCAACUCCUCCAUUACCAAUGCUUGUCUAAACUCAUCAACCGCUUGAAGCUCCUCAACAUCACGAACAUCCUCAAUGGAGACAGAACUGACCCGGACAUCACUUUUUCUUCUCUUUUUCUUGAGAGAAUGCUUGAACUUGGUAGAUGCAUUGAUUGCUUUCUUCUUCAAAG